rnacentral:snoRNA from 1 species
AAACCAUGGUGUGGGCAGUCUCUUUGCAAGUCCUUGAAUCUUUCCCAAACCUCGAACAAACUCCAUCUGCUUGUUGAGAGAUACCUAAUAUCUGUCCCCUUAGACG